AUUGAACGCUGGCGGCAUGCCUUACACAUGCAAGUCGAACGGCAGCGGACCUUCGGGUGCCGGCGAGUGGCGAACGGGUGAGUAAUAUAUCGGAACGUACCUUUCAGUGGGGGAUAACGUAGCGAAAGUUACGCUAAUACCGCAUAUUCUGUGAGCAGGAAAGCAGGGGAUCGCAAGACCUUGCGCUGAUUGAGCGGCCGAUAUCAGAUUAGCUAGUUGUGGGUAAAGGCCACCAAGGCGACGAUCUGUAGCGGGUCUGAGAGGAUGAUCCGCCACACUGGGACUGAGACACGGCCCAGACUCCUACGGAGGCAGCAGUGGGGAAUUUUGGACAAUGGGCGCAAGCCUGAUCCAGCCAUGCCGCGUGCGGGACGAA
rnacentral:rRNA from 1 species